UGGGGAAUUUUACGCAAUGGGGGAAACCCUGACGUAGCGACACCGCGUGAGCGAAGAAGCCCUUUGGGGUGUAAAGCUCUGUCAGCUGGAACGAAAAAAAUGACGGUACCAGCAGAGGAAGCAUCGGCUAACUACGUGCCAGCAGCCGCGGUAAGACGUAGGAUGCGAGCGUUGUCCGGAUUUAUUGGGCGUAAAGAGUUCGUAGGUGGUUUGUUAAGUCUGAUGUUAAAGACUGGGGCUCAACCCUGGAUAUGCAUUGGAUACUGGCAGACUUGAGUGUGGUAGAGGCUAGUGGAAUUCCCAGUGUAGCGGUGAAAUGCGUAGAUAUUGGGAAGAACACCGGUGGCGUAGGCGACUAGCUGGGCCAUAACUGACACUGAGGAACGAAAGCCAGGGUAGCGAAUGGGAUUAGAUACCCCUGUAGUCC
rnacentral:rRNA from 1 species